UUCGGAUCGGAGUCUGCAACCCGACUCCGUGAAGCUGGAUUCGCUAGUAAUCGCGCAUCAGCCAUGGCGCGGUGAAUACGUUCCCGGGCCUUGUACACACCGCCCGUCCAAGCCAUGGGAGCCGGGGGUGCUUGAAGUGCGUCGCCGCGAGGCGCGCCCUAGAGCAAAACCGGUGACUGGGGCUAAGUCGUAACAAGGUAUC
rnacentral:rRNA from 1 species